rnacentral:rRNA from 1 species
GACGAACGCUGGCGGCGUGCUUAACACAUGCAAGUCGAACGGUGAAAGUGGAGCUUGCUCCGCUGGAUCAGAGGCGAACGGGUGAGUAACACGUGGGCAACCUGCCCCUGACUUCGGGAUAACUCCUCGAAAGAGGUGCUAAUACCGGAUACGAAUCCUGCAGGCAUCUGCGGGAUUGGAAAGUUUUUCGGUCAGGGAUGGGCCCGCGGCCUAUCAGCUUGUUGGUGAGGUAGUGGCUCACCAAGGCGACGACGGGUAGCCGGCCUGAGAGGGCGACCGGCCACACUGGGACUGAGACACGGCCCAGACUCCUACGGGAGGCAGCAGUGGGGAAUAUUGCGCAAUGGGCGAAAGCCUGACGCAGCAACGCCGCGUGAGGGAUGACGGCCUUCGGGUUGUAUACCUCUUUCAGCAGGGAAGAAGCGAAAGUGACGGUACCUGCAGAAGAAGCACCGACUAACUACGUGCCAGCAGCCGCGGUAA